rnacentral:rRNA from 1 species
GAUGAACGCUAGCGGCAGGCCUAAUACAUGCAAGUCGAACGGUAGACUUAACUUCGGUUGAGUUGAGAGUGGCGCACGGGUGCGUAACGCGUAUGCAACCUACCCUUAACAGGGGGAUAGCCCGGAGAAAUUCGGAUUAAUACCCCAUAGUAUCAUUAGAUGGCAUCUGAAGAUGAUUAAAGAUUUAUCGGUUAAGGAUGGGCAUGCGUAACAUUAGAUAGUUGGUGAGGUAACGGCUCACCAAGUCCACGAUGUUUAGGGGUUCUGAGAGGAUGAUCCCCCACACUGGUACUGAGAUACGGACCAGACUCCUACGGGAGGCAGCAGUAGGGAAUAUUGGUCAAUGGGCGAGAGCCUGAACCAGCCAUGCCGCGUGCAGGAAGACGGCCUUCUGGGUUGUAAACUGCUUUUAUAUGGGAAGAAAAAGCCCUUGCGAGGGAAAUUGCCGGUACCAUAUGAAUAAGCACCGGCUAACUCCG